GAUGAACGCUAGCUACAGGCUUAACACAUGCAAGUCGAGGGGCAGCAUGGAAGAAGCUUGCUUCUUCUGAUGGCGACCGGCGCACGGGUGCGUAACGCGUAUCAAACCUGCCUCAUACUCGGGGAUAGCCUUGCGAAAGUAAGAUUAAUACCCGAUGUUGUUGCUUUCUCGCAUGGGAGAGUAACUAAAGAUUUAUCGGUAUGAGAUGGUGAUGCGUCCGAUUAGGUAGUAGGCGGGGUAACGGCCCACCUAGCCUUCGAUCGGUAGGGGUUCUGAGAGGAAGGUCCCCCACACUGGAACUGAGACACGGUCCAGACUCCUACGGGAGGCAGCAGUGAGGAAUAUUGGUCAAUGGGCGAGAGCCUGAACCAGCCAAGUAGCGUGCAGGAUGACGGCCCUCCGGGUUGUAAACUGCUUUUAGUUGGGAAUAAAAAAAAGGGACUUGUCCCUUCUUGUAUGUACCUUCAGAAAAAGGACCGGCUAAUUCCGUGCCAGCAGCCGCGGUAAUACGGAAGGUCCAGGCGUUAUCCGGAUUUAUUGGGUUUAAAGGGAGCGUAGGCGGAUUGUUAAGUCAGCGGUUAAAGGGUGUGGCUCAACCAUGCAUUGCCGUUGAAACUGGCGAUCUUGAGUGCAGACAGGGAUGCCGGAAUUCGUGGUGUAGCGGUGAAAUGCUUAGAUAUCACGAAGAACUCCGAUCGCGAAGGCAGGUGUCCGGGCUGCAACUGACGCUGAGGCUCGAAAGUGUGGGUAUCAAACAGG
rnacentral:rRNA from 1 species